AGUGAACGCUGGCGGUAGGCCUAACACAUGCAAGUCGAACGGCAGCACAGUAAGAGCUUGCUCUUACGGGUGGCGAGUGGCGGACGGGUGAGGAAUACAUCGGAAUCUACUUUUUCGUGGGGGAUAACGUAGGGAAACUUACGCUAAUACCGCAUACGACCUACGGGUGAAAGCAGGGGAUCUUCGGACCUUGCGCGAUUGAAUGAGCCGAUGUCGGAUUAGCUAGUUGGCGGGGUAAAGGCCCACCAAGGCGACGAUCCGUAGCUGGUCUGAGAGGAUGAUCAGCCACACUGGAACCGAGACACGGUCCAGACUCCUACGGGAGGCAGCAGUGGGGAAUAUUGGACAAUGGGCGCAAGCCUGAUCCAGUCAUACCGCGUGGGUGAAGAAGGCCUUCGGGUUGUAAAGCCCUUUUGUUGGGAAAGAAAAGCAGCAGGUUAAUACCCCGCUGUUCUGACGGUACCCAAAGAAUAAGCGCCGGCUAACUUCGUG
rnacentral:rRNA from 1 species